UAAGGAAUAUUGGUCAAUGGACGCAAGUCUGAACCAGCCAUGCCGCGUGAAGGAUGAAGGUCCUCUGGAUUGUAAACUUCUUUUAUCUGGGACGAAAACGGGAUUUUUAUCUCAAUUGACGGUACCAGAGGAAUAAGCACCGGCUAACUACGUGCCAGCAGCCGCGGUAAUACGUAGGGUGCGAGCGUUAAUCGGAAUUACUGGGCGUAAAGCGUGCGCAGGCGGUUUUGUAAGACAGAUGUGAAAUCCCCGGGCUUAACCUGGGAGCUGCGUUUUGGACUGCAAGGCUGGAGUACGGCAGAGGGAGGUGGAAUUCCGCGUGUCGCAGUGAAAUGCGUAGAGAUGUGGAGGAACACCGAUGGCGAAGGCAGCCCCCUGGGCCUGUACUGACGCUCAUGCACGAAAGCGUGGGGAGCAAACA
rnacentral:rRNA from 1 species